UCAGGGCUUGUGGCCAGAUGUGCAGC
rnacentral:piRNA from 1 species